rnacentral:lncRNA from 1 species
CUGUUGUUUUCCUUCUACACCACUCGAAACUACUACAACAGGAGUGCGCGAUUAUUUAGUUAGUUUGUUGACUUUUCGAGUGCCUGCCAGCUUUUGCACACUUGCAGCCCAACUUUAAUCAAACAUUGAAAAUGUCCACGUUUAAAUAAUAAUACUGUAACCGCAAAGCCAGCUUUACAUUUAUUAUUCAAUUUACAUCCGUUUUUGAUGGAAGGUGAACGAGAGAGCACUUACAGACGUUUACACAAGCAACAUAAUCUGUACAGUUAUACAGUACUCUCUUCUGUCUCAUUCCUAAGCCUGAAAGCGAUUGACGGCAGCGCUGUUAACAGAGAGAGAGCAGCGAACUGUUGUUGCUAACAGCGGACACGAUCGUUCACGCUCUCAUGACCGCUCUCUCUCUCUCUCUCUCUCGGGCUCUUUGCCUUGCGCUGCCGCUAUCCAGCAGCACUCUCGCUCUGACAUGACUCUCGUUUCCACCCCCGAAUUGUAACGGCAGCAACUUGCAGUACAUUCAAUACAGUUACCCACGUCAACCUCGACAGCAUUUAGCACGAUAAUCAUAUAUUCGAGAACACUCACAGACACACUCGUCUUCUAAUUUAGUUUGGUCCGCAGCUUGUGUAGAGAUUCCGUGAUAACUUAAGCCUCUUACAGUUGUAUGAUGAGGCGCAUUCAAAACUUCAUAUCGCUCAUUGAAAGUUUAGAGGAGCACUGAGCAGAACCGAAUGCAAUUAGAGUUACAACUUGAGAAGUUCAACAGAAAUUUGUGUGUGCGGGUACGACUUGAGUCUCCUUUCUGGGGCUUUGGCAAAAGAUUUCAUUAAUAUUAAAAGAGAGAGGGAAUACU